AUUGAACGCUGGCGGCAUGCCUAACACAUGCAAGUCGAACGCGGAAGGGCUUCGGCCUGAGUAGCGUGGCGGACGGGUGAGUAAUGCGUGGGAAUCUGCCUGGUAAUGGGGGAUAACCCGGGGAAACUCGGGCUAAUACCGCAUACGCCCUACGGGGGAAAGGGGGCUUUGGCUCUCGUUAUCAGAUGAGCCCACGUCCGAUUAGCUAGUUGGUGAGGUAAUGGCCCACCAAGGCGACGAUCGGUAGCUGGUCUGAGAGGAUGAUCAGCCACACUGGGACUGAGACACGGCCCAGACUCCUACGGGAGGCAGCAGUGGGGAAUAUUGGACAAUGGGCGCAAGCCUGAUCCAGCAAUGCCGCGUGUGUGAAGAAGGCCUGCGGGUUGUAAAGCACUUUCGGUGGGAAAGAAAGGUGCAGGGUUAAUACCCCUGCACGUUGACGUUACCCACAGAAGAAGCACCGGCUAACUCCGUGCCAGCAGCCGCAGU
rnacentral:rRNA from 1 species